GGAAAUGGUCACAAACAUCUAGUUGGGGGACCAGUUACAGGACAGACAGGUGUUGACCACUUUAUGGAGGGAACAACACAAAGAGACUCUUCAGGUGGAGUUGAUGCAUUUGGAGGUUCUCACGUGGAACUCACAGGCAUAGUAGACCAAUCCAACGCAGACUUCUUCAUAGGCUUAAUGGGUAAGUGUCCUUUUCCCACAGAAGGGUGUGUAUAUUCACAAACAAAAUAAAACAAAUGAAAACAAAACAGAACAAAACAAAUAUUCCAUUUGUGAUCUUCAUGUAGGCGGAAUGGUGGAUGCCUAUGGCCCAGAUGCACACAUGGAUACUUUAGGUAUGCUAUCAAUCCUCACUGAGUCUCCUUCAGACACUACUUCCAAAUGCCUAAUCACUGACGCUGUCCCAGCAGAUCACAUGGGCUUCACUUUUCACUUAGAUCCAACAGGUUAGUGCUCACCCUUUCACCCUCUAACUCUUGCAUGGAUAUGAAACUCUUUGCAUGGAUUGCGAUAGGACAGCUAUCAGACUGCCCAUCAGCCACUAAUUGGGUUUGCUUGUCACAUAUCUUACUCUACGUGUCUAAUAAUACUUAACCCAGACACUUUAUUUGAUUCGGGCUGGUGUGAAUUCCGUCUCUGCACUAUAGUUUAAAUAUAGUGCUGGGAACCCUUAAACUCUCUUUUCUGCUUCUGUCAUAUCAUGCUAAUUAUCUGUGCGCGUUGACAUAGCAUAAAAACCAGCCAGGCAGUCGCAGUUGUUUUUCCUCUCGUAAUUCACCCAAGGAAAACUGGUUUAAAUCAGGUUUGAUUUUUUUUUUUCUCACUGGCGCUCACUUCCAGCUGUCGGGUUGGAUCCAGGACAGCCAUCCAGUAGCAGCGCAGCUCCAGACGCUCCACCAGGUACCGCUGGCACGGUCCGCUCCGCCAGGCCUCAUAAAUCUCCCCGCGCCUCUCCCCCGCCGCUCGUCCCAUUCGGGCUCAGCUUACUCGGCCACGCCUCGCAAAAAAAGAAGAAAAAAAAAAAACGCGCAGCUCGUAGGCUUGUAAUCGUGACAGAGAUUUCAGAGCAUCUGCCGGAUAUUUAUGGUCCACUUUUUAACACUCCAAGUUAUCAUUAGGUCCAUGUGUGUGGGGCUUUUUUUGUCUCUUUUUCAUUGUUUUUGCACAGAGGUCUAUAGAGUGCUGGUGUAAUGUGUGUCUAGGCCCCAUGCGUGUGAACUUGCACCUUGCUUGUGUUAAGUUUUGGAAUUUCGUUUCACUCUGUUGACUUUUCUAAGAGGCCUUGAACAGCUUUCCUGCUUCAGAUCUACAGAGUAUUUGUUACAUAGGCCUUUGUGCCAUUAGCCAUCCUCCUGCUGUCAUUACUAAGCGGUUAUCUCCUUGUCUCAACAGGCUCCCUGGAUCCUUCAUCCUUUGAUCACCAUGGUCCAGAUCUAUCUAGUACAGACCACACUGCUGUGGACCACACUCGUUUUGAUCAUGUGAGUGUAGACCAUGCAGGUCUAGACUACUGGCCUGAUGCCUUGGCCCACACACACGUGGACACAGGUGAGCAGGUGAACUCUGUUUUGGGUACAAUCGAUGUUCUCACACACAUGCAUGCAUGCAUGCAUGCAU